UGAGCAGGGCCUAAACUGCAGCACUGUGUUUUCCAAACAGACUGUGAAACCAAGAAUGAGAGACAAGAGUGAGCUUCCUCCAGCCCCUUGUGUCAUCUGGGCAUGCUUGUGCCACGUGUCACUACAAACAGUUGGGACAUCUGGAACGGGUUCAUGAAAGUUCCUCUGUCUGGUUCAGUGCCUGGUCACAGCAAGUUUUCCUGGCACAAGUGAGUGGAAAGAGCACUUUGGCAUGGAGAGGAAAUGAGCAGCGGAGGGUGAAAGGUGAGCAGCAAUUACUGGUGCUGGGAAUGCCCCAGUGUACUUUAAUAUCAGCCCAUGGUCUGCAGCUGAACUCAACAUGUGAAAAAUGUUCAAAUACCUUUCAAAUUGUCAGGUUUAAUCUUUGCUUUUAGGUGUCCUGGCGGGCACUUCCCAUUUGUGUCCUUAUCUCCCAGCCUCCAGCUGUCUUCAAAGGCUUCCCAGCUACUGUGUCCUGCAAGUUCAAAACCCUGCAGCCCUCUGGGACUGGAGAUGUGUGAAGGAGCACAAGGAUUGGAGUUGAAUGACAGUGUGGCUGCCUGGCUGUUACAAUUUAUCAUGAACGCAUCUCACUUCACUUCUGGCUCCUCUGACGGAAGGAACAGCCGGUCUCCGGGAGGUCAAAGACAUUAUUUUCCCCCAGUCUUUCUCAGUUUCCAGUGCAUAUUUGUCACUUUGAAAAAGCAUGAAUUCUGGAUUUGAUGCACUUUAAUUGAUUUCACCCUCAACAAGUCCAACUGUCCAUCAACCUUUCCUUUUUCUUUCCUCUCUCCCUUCUUCAUUUCUUUCCUCUGUCCCUUUGCUUUGAGAGUGAUGCUUUCACCCUCCUGCAUGUUGGAGCUGUUGCAAAGCCCAUGACCCUCUCAAGGCUUACUGUCACAAGCCAUUGCUCUCAUUUUCCCUAUCCUCCAAGCUGAACUUUGGAUGCUGAGUGAGAAUGAUGUAGGAGUACUGGUCUUGUAAUAUCUCAGUGAUGUGCUCCUUGUCAAAGUAAAAGUGGUGGCUGAUGGUCCACUUAUUUUGAGACAACUGUGUAGAAUUGGAGAUGUGAGGGAAUUCACUCAUUAUAUGCUGGCAUUGG
ensembl:lncRNA